rnacentral:rRNA from 1 species
AUGAUGACUGUAGAGGAGUUUGAAUCUGGAUGGCUGUUUCUGGUUUCUAGCUAUGGACUACAGGAAAACAGGUACAUGCAGGAUGUGUUUCACUGCAGGGAUAAAUGGGCCAAGCCGUAUCUUAGUUCUAAUUUUUGUGCCAAAAUGUCCAGCACACAAGGGAAUGAAUGCAUGAAUAACGUUCUUAAAACUUAUGUAUCACUAUCAGCACCGCUCAACAGAUUUGUGAUGCAGUAUAACAAGCUAAUAGCCUCUCGUUGCGAAGAAGAGGACUUUGAAAUGGCGCAUACAAAAAAGGAUGGCAAGGUGUUGCAUAGUAAUGUGCCCAACGAGAGACACGCCUCCAAUGUCUAUACUCGUGUUGUGUUCAAGUUGUUUUCUGUUGAGCUGUAUGAGGUAGGCAGUUACGUCGUGAAAGGUCCGAAUGUGGAUGGCCGUGUUGUCGUGCAACAUGUUGACUCAGAUCACCGUGCACACUGGUGCAAAGUAAGCUAUGUGGUUAUGGUUGACCGCGAAAGUGACACUUACAACUGCGAGUGUGCCAUGUAUGAGCACAUGGGGCUUCUCUGCCGGCACGCUCUGAGAGUAAUGAUUCAUGUUGGUGUUCUUCGCCUUCCGACUCAUUAUGUGAUGAAGCGGUGGACUAGAGAUGCCCGGGACAUUUUACCUGAUCAUAUCAAGAAUUAUCAGACAGAUUCAUACAUUGGGGUUUCCAAAACUUUCAGGCAUAAUAUUUUGUAUGUGCGUGCACUGCAGGUGGUAAAGGCAGGUAAUCUAUCAGUGCCUCUUUUCAAUCACGCAGUACAGAAGUUGCUCUCGCUUGAGAAAGAACUGAAAGCCAUGGCUGCUUCAGAAUCUGAGACUAGUCAGCCAAUUACAAAGAUUGGGAACAGCAAGGCUGCAUCACAAAACCCCAAUGUGCCCAACUUUAGUGAUGUUCAACCUGCUGAUCAUGUUACAGCUCUCUAUCCAGAGAAGAGACCAUAG